rnacentral:rRNA from 1 species
UACAGAGGUCUCAAGCGUUUUUCGGAUUCAUUGGGCGUAAAGGGUGCGUAGGUGGCGGGGUUAGUCAGGUGGGAAAUCUCGGAGCUCAACUCCGAAACUGCACUUGAUACUGCCUUGCUAGAGUACUGGAGAGGAGAUUGGAAUUUACGGUGUAGCAGUGAAAUGCGUAGAUAUCGUAAGGAAGACCAGUGGCGAAGGCGAAUCUCUGGACAGUUACUGACACUGAGGCACGAAGGCCAGGGGAGCAAACGGG